AAAAUUUUAUUGCUAUAAUUUUUCUGAAUUUCGGAACGUAUUUAAUAAAUUCUGUUUUAUCUAUGGUAUGGAUAUUUACUUUGCAAUAAUUUUCAUGACAUGAGACUACAUUUUGCUGCAAUUACAAGCGAUUUGAUCUGGUUUUGUUAUAAUUUCGUUUCAAUUUUAUGCGAAUAGGUACUGAGUUUAUAAAAGUAACAUAAUAUUGUCUUGUAUAUAAUUAGUUUUUGUGUAUUUCGGAUUCCGUUUACAUCUAGGUACCUACUAUGUCGGGGUCCUACGAGAAAGCUGGCGUAUCAACGCCACGAAUAUUCAGGCGCCCGUAAAUCGUCAAAACGAGUGAAAAGCGCAUUCAGUUGGAUACAUGUGGACGACAAGAUAGUAAACCUGUAAAUUAUAACUCAAGUUGUGGCCAGCUUCAUUGUAAACAAACUUUAGUUUUCAAGUUCAAGGACAAAUGCGUGUCAGUAACAUGGAUAAAUGCUACUUCAUAUGUUUUAUUUCAGUCAAUGAACCUUUGACUGUUAUAGAAGUUUGUCGAGAUAAUAUAAUGACUUUAUCAGCAAUAUGAUGCCAAAGUUAAUACACUUUUCUAAAGAAUGUAUUCUGCCAGAAAUAGUUUUGAGACAUGUUCAAAAAAUGCGAAAUGUAUACCUAGGUAUGAAAGCAGCUGUGUAGCGGUAGUUUCCAGGCAAUAAUGAAGAAGGAUGAGUGAAAACAACACGACAAAUGUUUUUUAUUGUACUAUUAUAGUAGUGCGUUUAGAAUCUACAUUAUCAAUGUUUACAGUAAUGUUUUUUUUGAUGUCAGAAAACUGAAAUGGUGUACUCGUCGUAAUGAACAUAAUGUUCAUAAUGUGAUAUGAAUACAUUGACCUAUUUUAAGGUUUCUGAAAAACAAAAAGGAAAGUUGUUGCUUUUUUAUUUCCUUAUGUAGUAUAGUGAUUAUGGAUGCUUAGAUAUUCUCAAACAUUUUUCCGCUUUGAUUGCAAUCUAUUAUUCUGGUUGCCUUGUUUAUGAAUUAUAGUUUUGAAUUAUUAUUUUGAAUGAGAUUAUUUUUUAAUAAUCAGUCACGUAUCAAGCAUUCAUGUCACAUAAAUACUUGUAAUAAUUGCAGGUUAGUAUAUACAUUCUAUUAAAUAAUGUAUAAGAUAAUAAAAUAAAACUGUCUUACAUUGC